UGGUGGAGCGAUUUGUCUGGUCAAUUCCGAUAACGAACGAGACUCUAGCCUACUAAAUAGUUCGGGGACCCCCCACAAAGGGGCCCCGCUUCAACUUCUUAGAGGGACCGGUGGCGUUUAGCCACACGAGAUUGAGCAAUAACA
rnacentral:rRNA from 1 species